UAUUGUGUCAAUUUCUACUAUAAUAAAUGAUAUAUCCUGAUCUAGAAUCUGAACUGUUAAAGAAAUUGUGCUACUUCCUUAGAGGUGAACUGAUAUGGAAACUUAGGGAUCUGAGAAACAAUUUUAUCUCCUCUAAUGCUAGAUUUUCACCCAUUUAAAACUUUCCCUUUUUCUUUGGUUCAGCUCAGCAACAAAGAAGCACCAUGUUAGAUCCUGGGGAUUUAAAGUGCUUCACUAAAAGUGAAUGAAAAUCAGCAGUUACUGUAUAGCUGUCCAGAAUUAAGCUGCACCACCCAUUUUCUAUGAACACGUUUUUCCCUCUCAACUAUAGUUUAGGACUCUGUGGUGAUUAUUAACACAGCAACCAACAGGUGGCGCUGCAGCUCUGUGCAACUCAACUCUACAGUCAACGACUUUUCUGCUUUUUUUACGCCUUGCCAACACCUUGGGCUCUGGAGAGAGGAUAACAAAGAUCAUCUUCACUCUGAUGAAUCUGUCUGUUUUCUAAAUCGCUCUUGGGCAAAAUGGCUUCAACAGCUGCCCAGGAAUGUUGAGGAUCAUGGACUGAAGAUGGAGUAGUGGUUCAGUUUAUUAUCCUUCUCCUGUGUCAUCACGAAAAAGUGACUCUGUGGGAAGUUCCUGUAAAAUGUAAUGCAGAAGGAGAGGAUAUUUAUCUGCCAAG
rnacentral:lncRNA from 1 species